AAGAGGGGGAGGCACAUCAGAAGCUGAGGAUUAAGGGGAAGAGUGGGAUUUCAGAGGGGACGAGAAAGUGAAGGAAAGGAGGAACACAAAUGAAAGAAAGAAAAGAUGGAAGUCAGACAAUCAUUCUUAGUAACAAGCAGCCGGGACUCAGAAUUUGGAGCACACACUUGGCCAGUGAGGAGGUGAGAAGUCUGUGUGCGAGGAGGAAACGGCGCUGAGAGGCGCGAGGGGAAAAAGCUGCAUCUGGCCGCUAAUGAGGCGCUCUGAGGCAGCGGCGUUCUCAUCAGCCGUGUUUGUUUUCUCAGGCCGCUCCGGGUCGGCUCGCCGAUUGUUUUCCUUGCU